AUCAUAACUUCAAUAUAAAAUUAGACUGAACUCAAUUAACAAUCAUUGAAAUUUACCUAAAAUUUCAAAUUAUUUAUUUAAUUAUUAAUUAAUUAAUUUCAAAUUUAAAUUCAUGUUUCGUUGGCAUCAAAUUUGUUAUUUUCAAUGGAGAAUCCCAUAUAUUAUUGUAUUUUUAAAUUCUAUAUGUAAUUGAAAAUAAAAUGACUAUAUCAUGUCCUAUAUCUAAACUCAGUAGUUUUGAGUUAUGGAGUAAUUAAAAUUAUCGUAAUUCCUCCAAUUUUGAUGAACCAUAGUUUAUUUUUGGCACACACGUUAAUCAAGGAUCAUCCUAUAAUGAACCAAUAUUAGUACUAACAAAUUUUAUUCAGGGUGUUCGUUAUUUACGUUUAUUUGUCAAUUUAUACCUUUCACCCUUUUUUAAUUUUAAGUAGUUUGUUACAACAACAAAUAAUUCAAAAAUUGGAUGUAGAACGUUUUUAAUAGAUGGUUUAUUUAAUUGUAAAAUCCUAGCCAAGUUACAUUUUAUUUGUAAAACAAAAUUCUGGUACAAUAUACAAUACAUUUACAAUAAAAUACCUCAAGCACAAAUAUGAGAAUGUAUAUAAAAAUUUACAAAUUACAACACUUGAAUAGGUGUACUAAAUUAUAAUAAAAAUGUGUGUGUUUUUUUAUUCUGUACAUACUAAAAUUGACACAAUUUAUUAUAACAUUAACGUUUUAAAAAAUUGUUAAUAAUUAACAAAUGAAACAUUCACUAACGUUACAAAUAUUUGCGACAAUACACAGUUUUAUGAGCCUUACAAAUUGUUAGUUUGGUUUUGGUACCAAUUUCUGUUGGUCCUCCUUUCUCUGUUAAUUAAUGAUUAACUUACAAUAAAAAAUGUCUCAGAUUUUUUUGUUCUAUACAUGCUAAAAAUGACAUAAUUUAUCAUAACAUCAAUAUAAAAUUAAAAUUCCAAUUAAUAAAACGUAGGAUAAUAAUU